rnacentral:rRNA from 1 species
UUGGAAUAACACGGGGAAACUUGUGCUAAUACCGAAAAAGCCCUUACGGGGAAAGUUUUAACGCCGAAAGAUGAGCCCGCACUUGAUUAGCUAGUUGGUAAGGUAAAAGCUUACCAAGGCAAUGAUCAAUAGCUGUUCUUAGAGGAAGACCAGCCACAUUGGGACUGAGACACGGCCCAGACUCCUACGGGAGGCAGCAGUGAGGAAUCUUGCACAAUGGGGGAAACCCUGAUGCAGCGAUGCCGCGUGAGUGAAGAAGGCCUUUGGGUUGUAAAACUCUUUCGUCGGGGAAGAAAAUGACUGUACCCGAAUAAGAAGGUCCGGCUAACUUCGUGCCAGCAGCCGCGGUAAUACGAAGGGACCUAGCGUAGUUCGGAAUUACUGGGCUUAAAGAGCUCGUAGGUGGUUAAAAAAGUUGAUGGUGAAAUCCCACGGCCUAACCUUGGAACUGCCAUCAAAACUUUUUAGCUAGAGUGUGAUAGAGGUAAGUGGAAUUUCUAGUGUAGAGGUGAAAUUCGUAGAUAUUAGAAAGAACACCAAAUGCGAAAGGCAACUUACUGGGUCACUACUGACACUGAGGAGCGAAAGCAUGGGUAGCGAAGAGGAUUAAAUACCCUCGUAGUCCAUGCUGGUAAACGAUGUGUGCUAGACGUUGGAAAUAUAUUUUUUC